rnacentral:rRNA from 1 species
UACGGAGACUGCAAGCGUUACUCGGAUUCACUGGGCGUAAAGAGUGCGUAGGUUAAUAAAUGUGUCAAAUGUGAAAUCCCGAAGCUUAACUUCGGAACUGCGUUUGAAACUAUUUGUAUAGAGGAUCGGAGAGGUAAGCGGAAUUCCUAGUGUAGCAGUGAAAUGCGUAGAUAUUAGGAGGAACACCAAAGGCGAAGGCAGCUUACUGGACGAUAACUGACACUGAGGCACGAAAGCGUGGGGAGCAAAAAGG